rnacentral:rRNA from 1 species
CGCUGGAAACGGCGUCUAAUACCGGAUACGACCUGCCCCGGCAUCGGGUGCGGGUGGAAAGUUUUUCGGUCAAGGAUGGACUCGCGGCCUAUCAGGUAGUUGGUGAGGUAAUGGCUCACCAAGCCGACGACGGGUAGCCGGCCUGAGAGGGUGACCGGCCACACUGGGACUGAGACACGGCCCAGACUCCUACGGGAGGCAGCAGUGGGGAAUAUUGCACAAUGGGCGAAAGCCUGAUGCAGCAACGCCGCGUGGGGGAUGACGGCCUUCGGGUUGUAAACCUCUUUUAGUAGGGAAGAAGGGCUUCGGCUUGACGGUACCUGCAGAAAAAGCACCGGCUAACUACGUGCCAGCAGCCGCGGUAAUACGUAGGGUGCAAGCGUUGUCCGGAAUUAUUGGGCGUAAAGAGCUCGUAGGCGGUUUGUCGCGUCUGCUGUGAAAACCCGAGGCUCAACCUCGGGCCUGCAGUGGGUACGGGCAGACUAGAGUGCGGUAGGGGAGAAUGGAAUUCCUGGUGUAGCGGUGGAAUGC